rnacentral:rRNA from 1 species
GCCAGCAGCCAUAUCACCCUGCAGCUCCUAGCUGGCCCCCUGAAGCCCAAGAGGUGUGAGCCUGGUCAGUACCUGGAUGGGAGACCUCCUGGGAAAAACUAAGGUUUCUGCUGGAA